GCUGGAGGCUCUACUGGGAUUCAUCACACAAAACCACCACAAAGCUACCACGAGUUAGCAGCUAGCUUCAAAUGGCGGGGCCUUCCUACAGUCAUCACGACGCUGUGACUAUCAGAAGACACUUUAAGGUCUCGAGUGAAGGCAGCCCUUCCAUUGUCAUCUGAACAACCACUCCAUGACUUUGUGAUCAUAAAGAAUC